UACGUAGGGGGCGAGCGUUGUCCGGAUUUAUUGGGCGUAAGGAGCUCGUAGGCGGUUCGGUAAGUCGGAUGUGAAAUCUCCACGCUCAACGUGGAGGGGCCAUUCGAUACUGCCGUGACUCGAGUCCGGUAGGGGAGUGUGGAAUUCCCGGUGUAGCGGUGAAAUGCGCAGAGAUCGGGAGGAACACCCGUAGCGAAGGCGUCACUCUGGGCCGGUACUGACGCUGAGGAGCGAAAGCGUGGGGAGCGAACAGG
rnacentral:rRNA from 1 species